rfam:Desulfobulbaceae bacterium A2 Ga0073110_1155, whole genome shotgun sequence.
GGAGGGAUGGCCGAGCGGUUGAAGGCGGCGGUCUUGAAAACCGUUGAACGCAAGUUCCGUGGGUUCGAAUCCUACUCCCUCCG